rnacentral:miRNA from 1 species
GCCUCUCGUCAUUCCCGCGAAGGCGGGAAUCCAGGGCUUCCGAUUUCAGCGACCGCAGGGAAGCUCUGGAUCCCCGCCUUCGCGGGGAUGACGACGAUC